rnacentral:rRNA from 1 species
GAUGAACGCUGGCGGCGUGCCUAAUACAUGCAAGUCGAGCGAACAGACGAGGAGCUUGCUCCUCUGACGUUAGCGGCGGACGGGUGAGUAACACGUGGAUAACCUACCUAUAAGACUGGGAUAACUUCGGGAAACCGGAGCUAAUACCGGAUAAUAUAUUGAACCGCAUGGUUCAAUAGUGAAAGACGGUUUUGCUGUCACUUAUAGAUGGAUCCGCGCCGCAUUAGCUAGUUGGUAAGGUAACGGCUUACCAAGGCAACGAUGCGUAGCCGACCUGAGAGGGUAAUCGGCCACACUGGAACUGAGACACGGCCCAGACUCCUACGGGAGGCAGCAGGAGGGAUUCUUCCGCAAUGGGCGAAAGCCUGACGAAGCAACGCCGCGUGAGUGAUGAGGGUCUUCGGAUCGUAAAACUCUGUUAUUAGGGAAGAACAAAUGUGUAAGUAACUAUGCACGUCUUGACGGUACCUAGACAGAAAGCCACGGCUAACUACGU